UUUAAGCAUUAAGAGUGCCCCGCCGGCUGGCGGGAGCCGGCAACCGUAAAAGUUAACGGUGCCAGUCCAAGAGGACGAUGCGGUCCCGAGCCAGUCGAGGGACAAAACUUUUAAACCUC
rfam:Microgenomates (Levybacteria) bacterium GW2011_GWB1_39_7 TT56_C0006, whole genome shotgun sequence.